rnacentral:rRNA from 1 species
GACGAACGCUGGCGGCGUGCUUAACACAUGCAAGUCGAACGAUGAAGCGGGUGCUUGCACUCGUGGAUUAGUGGCGAACGGGCGAGUAGCACGUGAGUAACCUGUCCUUUUCUUUGGGAUAACGGCUGGAAACGGCUGCUAAUACUGGAUAUUCAGGCUGCAUCGCAUGGUGUGGUUUGGAAAGGUUUUUUCUGGGAUUGGGUGGGCUCGCGGCCUAUCAGCUUGUUGGUGGGGUGAUGGCUUACCAAGGCUUUGACGGGUAGCCGGCCUGAGAGGGUGGUCGGUCGCACUGGGACUGAGAUACGGCCCAGACUCCUACGGGAGGCAGCAGUGGGGAAUAUUGCACAAUGGACGAAAGUUUGAUGCAGCGACGCCGCGUGGAGGGUGUAGGCCUUCGGGUUGUGAACUCCUUUUUCUCGCGAAAAAGGCACAGUUUUGGCUGUGUUGAUGGUAGUGGGGGAAGAAGCGCCGGCUAACUACGUG